rnacentral:snoRNA from 1 species
AAGACUCCUUUCAGGAAUCAUUUCUUUAGUUCCUACUAGAGAGGCUUCUCUUAACUAAUGUGGAGCGCCGGAAACCACAAAGAGGAGGUGCAGCAUUCUGUCCUAAGUGUGAAGUGGAUUCUUGGUGUUGCUGUGCUGCAACUGCCAUUUGCUAAUGAUGACCUUGCUUUUCUUACUUAGAGUAAGACAGAGAGACAGCAGUUAGCCUGAGCGGU